rnacentral:rRNA from 1 species
UACAGAGGUGGCAAGCGUUGUUCGGAAUUACUGGGCGUAAAGGGCGCGUAGGCGGUCUUUUAAGUCUUGUGUGAAAUCCCUCGGCUCAACUGAGGAACUGCACGGGAUACUGGAAGACUUGAGUUCGGGAGAGGGAAGCGGAAUUCCGGGUGUAGCGGUGAAAUGCGUAGAUAUCCGGAGGAACACCGGUGGCGAAGGCGGCUUCCUGGACCGAUUACUGAGCUGAGGCGCGAAAGCUAGGGGAGCAAACGGG